AAAAAAAAAAAAAGCAAAAAAAGAAAAAAGACUUUUCCCUUUUUGUCGGUUUUUUUGUUGUUUUGUUUGUUUGUCCACUUGUUCCCACUUCCUUCCGACUCA
rnacentral:ribozyme from 13 species